rnacentral:rRNA from 1 species
AGCGGAGGAAAAGAAACCAACAGGGAUUGCCCUAGUAACGGCGAGUGAAGCGGCAACAGCUCAAAUUUGAAAUCUGGCUCUUUCAGAGUCCGAGUUGUAAUUUGCAGAGGGCGCUUUGGCUUUGGCAGCGGUCCAAGUUCCUUGGAACAGGACGUCACAGAGGGUGAGAAUCCCGUACGUGGUCGCUAGCUAUUGCCGUGUAAAGCCCCUUCGACGAGUCGAGUUGUUUGGGAAUGCAGCUCUAAAUGGGAGGUAAAUUUCUUCUAAAGCUAAAUAUUGGCCAGAGACCGAUAGCGCACAAGUAGAGUGAUCGAAAGAUGAAAAGCACUUUGGAAAGAGAGUCAAACAGCACGUGAAAUUGUUGAAAGGGAAGCGCUUGCAGCCAGACAUGCUUGCAGUUGCUCAUCCGGGCUUUUGCCCGGUGCACUCUUCUGUAGGCAGGCCAGCAUCAGUUUGGGCGGUGGGAUAAAGGUCUCUGUCACGUACCUCUCUUCGGGGAGGCCUUAUAGGGGAGACGACAUACCACCAGCCUAGACUGAGGUCCGCGCAUCUGCUAGGAUGCUGGCGUAAUGGCUGUAAGCGGCCCGUCUUGAAACACGGACCAAGGAGUCUAACAUCUAUGCGAGUGUUUGGGUGUCAAGCCCGAGCGCGUAAUGAAAGUGAACGGAGGUGGGAACCCGCAAGGGUGCACCAUCGACCGAUCCUGAAGUUUACGGAAGGAUUUGAGUAAGAGCAUGGCUGUUGGGACCCGAAAGAUGGUGAACUAUGCUUGAAUAGGGUGAAGCCAGAGGAAACUCUGGUGGAGGCUCGCAGCGGUUCUGACGUGCAAAUCGAUCGUCAAAUUUGGGCAUAGGGGCGAAAGACUAAUCGAACUAUCUAGU